UACGAAGGGGGCUAGCGUUGCUCGGAAUGACUGGGCGUAAAGGGCGCGUAGGCGGCUUGGCAAGUCAGGCGUGAAAUUCCUGGGCUCAACCUGGAGUCGCCAUCCGAUACUGCCAUGACUUGAGUCCGGUAGGGGACCAUGGAAUUCCUGGUGUAGCGGUGAAAUGCGCAGAUAUCAGGAGGAACACCGGUGGCGAAGGCGGGACUCUGGGCCGAUACUGACGCUGAGGAGCGAAAGCGUGGGGAGCAAACAGG
rnacentral:rRNA from 1 species